rnacentral:lncRNA from 1 species
CUUAGUGAGAUAAGAUUCUGUCUGAAAUCAGGUAUGUAUCGAACCUCGUCCAAUCUCCUCACUGCACCAUUAUGUGUCCUCCAGCUGACUAUUUCGGUGCCCUUGAUCGCAUAGCUCGAUCCGUCCAGUAGACGAACAGUGCCCUCACUGCUCUUCAGAGAGUCAAACAGGUCCUCUCUGCAACAAACACAAUGAAUGUAUGCAGAAUCUAAGAUCUACUGCUGAA